rnacentral:rRNA from 1 species
GACGAACGCUGGCGGCGUGCUUAACACAUGCAAGUCGAACGGAAAGACCCUGCUUUUGUGGGGUGCUCGAGUGGCGAACGGGAGAGUAACACGUGAGUAACCUGCCCUUGACUUUGGGAUAACUUCAGGAAACUGGGGCUAAUACCGGAUAGGAGCUCCUGCUGCAUGGUGGGGGUUGGAAAGUUUCGGCGGUUGGGGAUGGACUCGCGGCUUAUCAGCUUGUUGGUGGGGUAGUGGCUUACCAAGGCUUUGACGGGUAGCCGGCCUGAGAGGGUGACCGGCCACAUUGGGACUGAGAUACGGCCCAGACUCCUACGGGAGGCAGCAGUGGGGAAUAUUGCACAAUGGGCGGAAUCCUGAUGCAGCAACGCCGCGUGCGGGAUGACGGCCUUCGGGUUGUAAACCGCUUUCGCCUGUGACGAAGCGUGAGUGACGGUAAUGGGUAAAGAAGCGCCGGCUAACUACGUG